rnacentral:rRNA from 1 species
UACAGAGGUCCCAAGCGUUGUUCGGAUUCACUGGGCGUAAAGGGUGCGUAGGUGGCCUGGAAAGUUUGAUGUGAAAGCUCGGAGCUUAACUCCGAAAUGGCAUUGAAUACUACUGGGCUUGAGGGUCGGAGGGGAGACUGGAAUUCUCGGUGUAGCAGUGAAAUGCGUAGAUAUCUGGAGGAACACCGGUGGCGAAGGCGGCAUCCUGGACCGGCAUUGACGCUGAGGCGCGAAAGCCAGGGGAGCAAACGGG